GAUGAACGCUGGCGGCGUGCCUAAUACAUGCAAGUCGAGCGAACGGACGAGAAGCUUGCUUCUCUGAUGUUAGCGGCGGACGGGUGAGUAACACGUGGAUAACCUACCUAUAAGACUGGGAUAACUUCGGGAAACCGGAGCUAAUACCGGAUAAUAUUUUGAACCGCAUGGUUCAAAAGUGAAAGACGGUCUUGCUGUCACUUAUAGAUGGAUCCGCGCUGCAUUAGCUAGUUGGUAAGGUAACGGCUUACCAAGGCAACGAUGCAUAGCCGACCUGAGAGGGUGAUCGGCCACACUGGAACUGAGACACGGUCCAGACUCCUACGGGAGGCAGCAGUAGGGAAUCUUCCGCAAUGGGCGAAAGCCUGACGGAGCAACGCCGCGUGAGUGAUGAAGGUCUUCGGAUCGUAAAACUCUGUUAUUAGGGAAGAACAUAUGUGUAAGUAACUGUGCACAUCUUGACGGUACCUAAUCAGAAAGCCACGGCUAACUACGUGCCAGCAGCCGCGGUAAUACGUAGGUGGCAAGCGUUAUCCGGAAUUAUUGGGCGUAAAGCGCGCGUAGGCGGUUUUUUAAGUCUGAUGUGAAAGCCCAUGGCUCAACCGUGGAGGGUCAUUGGAAACUGGAAAACUUGAGUGCAGAAGAGGAAAGUGGAAUUCCAUGUGUAGCGGUGAAAUGCGCAGAGAUAUGGAGGAACACCAGUGGCGAAGGCGACUUUCUGGUCUGUAACUGACGCUGAUGUGCGAAAGCGUGGGGAUCAAACAGGAUUAGAUACCCUGGUAGUCCACGCCGUAAACGAUGAGUGCUAAGUGUUAGGGGGUUUCCGCCCCUUAGUGCUGCAGCUAACGCAUUAAGCACUCCGCCUGGGGAGUACGACCGCAAGGUUGAAACUCAAAGGAAUUGACGGGGACCCGCACAAGCGGUGGAGCAUGUGGUUUAAUUCGAAGCAACGCGAAGAACCUUACCAAAUCUUGACAUCCUUUGACAACUCUAGAGAUAGAGCUUUCCCCUUCGGGGGACAAAGUGACAGGUGGUGCAUGGUUGUCGUCAGCUCGUGCCGUGAGAUGUUGGGUUAAGUCCCGCAACGAGCGCAACCCUUAAGCUUAGUUGCCAUCAUUAAGUUGGGCACUCUAAGUUGACUGCCGGUGACAAACCGGAGGAAGGUGGGGAUGACGUCAAAUCAUCAUGCCCCUUAUGAUUUGGGCUACACACGUGCUACAAUGGACAAUACAAAGGGCAGCGAAACCGCGAGGUCAAGCAAAUCCCAUAAAGUUGUUCUCAGUUCGGAUUGUAGUCUGCAACUCGACUACAUGAAGCUGGAAUCGCUAGUAAUCGUAGAUCAGCAUGCUACGGUGAAUACGUUCCCGGGUCU
rnacentral:rRNA from 1 species